rnacentral:snRNA from 1 species
GGAUGUGAAGGCGAUCUGGCUGCGACAUCUGUCACCCCAUUGAUCGCCAGGGUUGAUUCGGCUGAUCUGGCUGGCUAGGCGGGUGUCCCCUUCCUCCCUCACCGCUCCAUGUGCGUCCCUCCCGAAGCUGUGCACUCGGUCGAAGAGGACAACCAUCUCCAAUAGAGGAGGACCGUUCUUCGGUCAAGGGUAUACGAGUAGCUGCGCUCCCCUGCUAGAACCUCCAAACAAGCUCUCAAAAAUAAACAGGACAAUAAUACAUCAUUUAAAGGAUUAUUAGGGGAUUAAUGGGGACAAUAAAUGCAAACUAGUUAGAGCUGUGUCU